UACGAAGGGGGCUAGCGUUGUUCGGAUUUACUGGGCGUAAAGCGCACGUAGGCGGAAUGUUAAGUCAGAGGUGAAAUCCUGGAGCUCAACUCCAGAACUGCCUUUGAUACUGGCAAUCUAGAGUCCGGAAGAGGUGAGUGGAACUCCUAGUGUAGAGGUGGAAUUCGUAGAUAUUAGGAAGAACACCAGUGGCGAAGGCGGCUCACUGGUCCGGUACUGACGCUGAGGUGCGAAAGCGUGGGGAGCAAAC
rnacentral:rRNA from 1 species